rnacentral:rRNA from 1 species
AGCGAACGCUGGCGGCAGGCCUAACACAUGCAAGUCGAACGAACCUUUCGGGGUUAGUGGCGGACGGGUGAGUAACACGUGGGAACGUGCCUUUAGGUUCGGAAUAACUCAGGGAAACUUGUGCUAAUACCGAAUGUGCCCUUCGGGGGAAAGAUUUAUCGCCUUUAGAGCGGCCCGCGUCUGAUUAGCUAGUUGGUUGAGGUAAUGGCUCACCAAGGCGACGAUCAGUAGCUGGUCUGAGAGGAUGAUCAGCCACAUUGGGACUGAGACACGGCCCAAACUCCUACGGGAGGCAGCAGUGGGGAAUCUUGCGCAAUGGGCGAAAGCCUGACGCAGCCAUGCCGCGUGAAUGAUGAAGGUCUUAGGAUUGUAAAAUUCUUUCACCGGGGACGAUAAUGACAGUACCCGGAGAAGAAGCCCCGGCUAACUUCGUG